rnacentral:rRNA from 1 species
UACGUAGGGGGCAAGCGUUAUCCAGAUUUACUGGGCGUAAAGCGCGUGUAGGCGGCUGGUUAGGUGUGAUGUGAAAUCCUCGGGCUCAACCCGAGAACUGCAUUGCAAACCGGCCUGGCUAGAGUGCAGGAGAGGGAGGUGGAAUUCCAGGUGUAGCAGUGAAAUGCGUAGAUAUCUGGAGGAACACCGAUGGCGAAGGCAGCCUCCUGGGCUAGUACUGACGCUCAUGCACGAAAGCGUGGGGAGCAAACAGG